rnacentral:rRNA from 1 species
AGCAGCCGCGGUAAUUCCAGCUCCAAUAGCGUAUAUUAAAGUUGUUGCAGUUAAAAAGCUCGUAGUUGAAUUUCGGGGUCAGUAGGUCGGUCGUGCCACUGGUAUGAACUGGUUUUACUGAUUCCUCCCUCUUGAAGAACUGUAAUGCCAUUAAUUUGGUGUUGCAGGGAAUCAGGACUGUUACUUUGAAAAAAUUAGAGUGUUUAAAGCAGGCUUUAGCUUGAAUACAUUAGCAUGGAAUAAUGAAAUAGGACGUUUGAUUCUAUUUUGUUGGUUUCUAGGAUUGACGUAAUGAUUAAUAGGGAUAGUUGGGGGCAUUAGUAUUCAAUUGUCAGAGGUGAAAUUCUUGGAUUUAUUGAAGACUAACUACUGCGAAAGCAUUUGCCAAGGAUGUUUUCAUUAAUCAAGAACGAAAGUUAGGGGAUCGAAGACGAUCAGAUACCGUCGUAGUCUUAACCAUAAACUAUGCCGACUAGGGAUCGGAUGAUGUUAAUUUUUUAAUGACUCA